UUGGAGGGCAAGUCUGGUGCCAGCAGCCGCGGUAAUUCCAGCUCCAAUAGCGUAUAUUAAAGUUGUUGCAGUUAAAAAGCUCGUAGUUGAAUUUCGGGAUCAGUACGUUGGUCGUGCCUUAGGUACGUACUGGUGUUACUGGUUUCUACCUUCUGACGAACCAUCAUGUCAUUCAUUUGGUGUGGCGGGGAAUCAGGACUGUUACUUUGAAAAAAUUAGAGUGUUUAAAGCAGGCUCGCGCUUGAAUACAUUAGCAUGGAAUAAUGAAAUAGGACGUUGAUCCUAUUUUGUUGGUUUCUAGGAUUGACGUAAUGAUUAAUAGGGAUAGUUGGGGGCAUUAGUAUUCAAUUGUCAGAGGUGAAAUUCUUGGAUUUAUUGAAGACUAACUACUGCGAAAGCAUUUGCCAAGGAUGUUUUCAUUAAUCAAGAACGAAAGUUAGGGGAUCGAAGACGAUCAGAUACCGUCGUAGUCUUAACCAUAAACUAUGCCGACUAGGGAUCGGAUGAUGUUAAUUUUUUAAUGACUCAUUCGGCGCCUUACGGGAAAC
rnacentral:rRNA from 1 species